rnacentral:other from 1 species
UUACCCCUGCAAUGCUCGUGAUUGCAUAAUUGCCUUUGUCCUAACGUAAAGAACGAGGGGUAUCCACAUUUUUCCUGUGUGCAGGUUCCUCAUGUUAAGGAAAAGCCUAAAGGAAAUAUUGGACACCAACUUUUGAACUAAUGGUUCAAAGUCUAAACAGGCAACACGACUUUUUGGGGGUAAC